AUGUUACUCUCUUCGUCCGGAAAUAUUUGUCAUCGAAAUGGACAAAAAGAGAUACACCUAGAACUAAAAUACGUCUAGAUACACCCCCUUUUAUCUAUUUUGAUGACAAGUAUUUCUGAACGGAGGGAGUAUAUA
rfam:Triticum aestivum genome assembly, contig: Triticum_aestivum_CS42_TGACv1_scaffold_486648_6AS